rnacentral:rRNA from 1 species
UACGAAGGGGGCUAGCGUUGUUCGGAAUACUGGGCGUAAAGCGCGCGCAGGCGGUCUUCCAAGUCAGUGGUGAAAGCCCGGAGCUCAACUCCGGAACUGCCAUUGAAACUGUUAGACUUGAGGAUGAGAGAGGUGAGUGGAAUUCCCGGUGUAGCGGUGAAAUGCGCAGAUAUCGGGAGGAACACCCGUAGCGAAGGCGGGCACUCUGGGCCGGAUGACGCUGAGGAGCGAAAGCGUGGGGAGCAAACAGG